CUAUUACCAAAGCGAAAAUAAACCGAAAAACGAAACCCCGAAAUGAAAACGAAACCGGUCGAAACAAGCUUGAAAGCCAUGCUAUAGUAGGGUAGGGGAAGACAAACUGUUACCUAAACGCUGUCUGUUGAAAUACGAACAAAUACAAAAUUUGGUGAAAUUUAUUCAAUAUUAUGGCAUAUGCAAUAUGCAUAUUUAAAGCGCAUAUCCAGAGUUACGCUGGGGACAGACGCCCCUAAACCCCUUGAGAUUUCCUCACAUAUUGGAUUUCUGGUUCAACGGAGAGAACGCUUUGAGUUCUCCUCGUGACUGUGUUAUUUGCCUUGGUAUUAAAGUUUGAUGACAUCAUCGCCUUCCGUUCAGCUUCCAUCGCCGCCACAAAACUGGAAUUUCUCAUUUUUCUCCUCUAUACUUUUGCUUAGAAUUUUUUAGAUUCCCGUAAUUCAAGCUCAUAUUUUGAUUGGCCGUCCCAAAUCGGCAACGCUAAAAAGCACACUGCUCUGAUCUGUGGAUCUGAUGUCAUGGGAAUGGGAUGAUUCGAAUGAAAUGAUUCACCCUCGCACUCGUACGUUCCCCUGUUAUUGUCGACCUCCUGGAUGUUCGGCCUUAAACAAAAUGUGCUGAAAAUAAUAAUUCAAGCAAAUCUUAUUAAACUCAUCGUAAAGUAAA